AGCGCAGAGGCCAGUAACCCAGGAAACCGGGGGUUGGUUCGGAGGGCUGGAGGCAGUCAGUUUACUAGGGAGCGCCGGCCCGCGGGUUUUAGAGUUAAUCCUGGGCUUCCCUGGUAGCUCCGCUGGUGAAGAAACCGCCUGUAAUGAAGGAGACCCCAGUUCGACUCCUGGGUGAAUGAACGAGACCCCAGUUCGACUCCUGGGUGGGGAAAAUCCCCUGAAGAAGGGAUAGCCUACCCACUGCAGUACUUUUGGGUUUCCCUGGUGGCUGAGAUGGAACCACUGUAAUUUUAUUUUAUAAACAUUAAGGAAAAAGAAGAGCAAUUGGCAUUUUCUCCUCCAGGGCUGCCCAGGCUGAAAAGUAGAAAUGAUCCUUGUACUAUUGAUAUUUUGAAAAUAAGCCAUUAAUUGAGGCACUUAUUACUUUAUUGCUUGUUUUUGGCAGUCUUGCAUGCAAUGACCAAAAAAUCCUUAAAACUAUUAAGCCAUUUGUACAAAGUGGAUAUCAAAAACAAUAUGUUUUUGAAAAUAACUAGCAAUCCCAAGAUAAUUAAAUAGAAACUAUAACAGAAAAAAAAAUCUUUUAAUUAUGAAAAAAACUUAAGGAAAAUAUUAAC
ensembl:lncRNA